UACGGAGGGAGCUAGCGUUGUUCGGAAUUACUGGGCGUAAAGCGCGCGUAGGCGGCUUUGUAAGUUAGAGGUGAAAGCCCGGGGCUCAACCCCGGAACUGCCUUUAAGACUGCAUCGCUUGAAUCCAGGAGAGGUGAGUGGAAUUCCGAGUGUAGAGGUGAAAUUCGUAGAUAUUCGGAAGAACACCAGUGGCGAAGGCGGCUCACUGGACUGGUAUUGACGCUGAGGUGGCGAAAGCGUGGGGAGCAACAGGA
rnacentral:rRNA from 1 species